UACGGAGGGUGCGAGCGUUAAUCGGAAUUACUGGGCGUAAAGAGUUCGUAGGUGGUUGGAUAAGUUAUCUGUGAAAUCCCUGGGCUUAACCUGGGCAGGUCAGAUAAUACUGUUUGACUCGAGUAUGGGAGAGGGUAGUGGAAUUUCCGGUGUAGCGGUGAAAUGCGUAGAGAUCGGAAGGAACACCAGUGGCGAAGGCGGCUACCUGGCCUAAUACUGACACUGAGGAACGAAAGCGUGGGGAGCAAACAGG
rnacentral:rRNA from 1 species